AGAACGAACGCUGGCGGCAUGCCUAACACAUGCAAGUCGAACGCUCUUGGGGCUUCGGUUUCAAGGGAGUGGCGCACGGGUGAGUAGCGCGUGGGAACUGCCCUGUUGUGGGGGAUAACCGAGGGAAACUUCGGCUAAUACCGCAUACGCCGGGUUGUCUUGAGAGAGAUGGCCGGGGAAAGAUUGAUCGCAGCAGGAGGGGGCCCGCGUCGGGAUUAGGUAGUUGGUGGGGUAACGGCCUACCAAGCCUGUGAUCCGUAGCUGGUCUGAGAGGAUGAUCAGCCACACUGGGACUGAGACACGGCCCAGACUCCUACGGGAGGCAGCAGUGGGGAAUAUUGGACAAUGGGCGCAAGCCUGAUCCAGCAAUGCCGCGUGAGUGAUGAAGGCCUUCGGGUUGUAAAGCUCUUUCGCACGCGACGAUGAUGACGGUAGCGUGAGAAGAAGCCCCGGCUAACUUCGUGCCAGCAGCCGCGGUAAUACGAAGGGGGCGAGCGUUGUUCGGAUUUACUGGGCGUAAAGGGCGCGUAGGCGGCGAUGAAAGUCAGGCGUGAAAGCCCCGGGCUCAACCUGGGAGGUGCGCUUGGGACUACAUUGCUGGAGUUCGGGAGAGGAGCGUGGAAUUCCCAGUGUAGAGGUGAAAUUCGUAGAUAUUGGGAAGAACACCGGUGGCGAAGGCGGCGCUCUGGACCGAUACUGACGCUGAGGCGCGAAAGCGUGGGGAGCAAACAGGAUUAGAUACCCUGGUAGUCCACGCUGUAAACGAUGUGUGCUAGACGUUGGAGAGCCUAGCUCUUCGGUGUCGCCGCUAACGCUUUAAGCACACCGCCUGGGGAGUACGGCCGCAAGGUUAAA
rnacentral:rRNA from 1 species